GACGAACGCUGGCGGCGUGCUUAACACAUGCAAGUGGAGCGACGAACCGGGGCUUGCCCCGGGGCAGAGCCGCGAACGGGUGAGUAACACGUGGGUAACCCACCCCGAUGAUUGGGACAACCCGAGGAAACUCGGGCUAAUACCAAAUGUGCCCUUGGUCCAUGAGGACCUCGAGUAAAGAUAGCUUCGGCCUUCGCAUCGGGACGGGCCCGCGGCCCAUUAGCUUGUUGGUGAGGUAACGGCUCACCAAGGCGACGAUGGGUAGCUGGUCUGAGAGGACGAUCAGCCACACUGGGACUGAGACACGGCCCAGACUCCUACGGGAGGCAGCAGUGGGGAAUCUUGCGCAAUGCGCGAAAGCGUGACGCAGCAACGCCGCGU
rnacentral:rRNA from 1 species